rnacentral:lncRNA from 1 species
CUGGGAAUCAAUGUGUGAGGUGGUGCUUUUUAGCAGGAACCCCUCUCGCUUUGCAAAUAGUUUUUUGUUUGUUUUCCUUUUUGCCCAAUAGAGCCCUGCUCUACUGACCCUUCAAUGUGCCCGUGUGCCUAAAUAUUCCUGGUCGUGUGAAAAGAACCCAGGUAUUAGCUGAACUAAGGAGCACAAUUCUGCAACAUUUUGGCACCCAAACACGGGGCUUGAGAAAUGAAUGCAAUUGGAGAAACUGGUUGUUUUACCAGGCGUUGAUUGGAAAUGUGUGCUUCCCUUUAAGCAGUCAAGCUCAACUUGCAGAGCUGAUGGAAACCCCUUGGGAAAACUGGCCUCAAACGUUUGUCUACACAGUCCACAUACAGGGUUCUUAACCUGCGGAAACACUUUCUGAAAAUGUCAGAACUCUUGAAAACAUGGAUGAGGAAAAGCAUAAGUACUGCUUUAUGCUUGUCUUAUGAAUUUUAAAAGAUGUAAUUUAAAGGUACUUUAAAGUGAUAUUUGUGCCCUUGUAACUGAUUCAAAGUAGACUGCUAAGGACAAUAAGUAAUAAGAGUCUACAAAUAUCAAUAAAUUAUGAGAAAAAAACGGUCUAAUGGUACUUAAAAUUGCAUUGUGAUUUAUUAAAUAACAUAUUGAACAGCUCCACCUGUAACAUUAAGAUUCCAUUUGAGCAUAUAGAAAAUAUAUUUAUCGCAACCUGAAGUGAUUUGGAAAGUAUGCUGGGAAGAAAAUAUAUUUACAAAUUAGUCUCAGAGGGUAGGUAUCCUGUAGCCAGAUGGAAUAAGAAGAGAGGGAAGGGAGAUUUUGUUCAAAGGGGGAGCAUAAGCUAAGGAAUAAAGCCACAAGCAAUGAUUAAAUUAGGUAAAGUGCAAUUAGCUGAAUAUUGCAUAAGCAUACAUAUGGGAAGAAGUGGAAAAAGGAGUGACAAUAUGAAGCUAAAGGGUUUGAAGUGUUCAAGAUAAUACUAGGCUUCCUAGCCUAUUCCGAGACAUCUUAUUUUAGAGUGCAAUAGAUAAGAACUCUAAGGAUGAAAGUAGGAGACAUGCAUUCUAGUCUACGUUUUGGUUAAUGGACUGAAAGUGAAAGAUGGACUGAAAUUGGGGGAUGGAAUAAAAAUGUGAUAGAAUAGAAAAUAGAAAAAUCAAUUAGCCUAAUGUGAUUGAUACUUAGAGAAAAUAUGGAAAAUAGUAAAUUGGUGAUAUAUAUCUUUUCUAAUUCACCAGGGUGAGUGAACAAAGGAAAUCGGAUUUAAAAGUAUUCAUGACAUAGAUGCAAUAAGGUUUCUCAGUCAGACAUAGCAAAUUGAGGGAAGGGAAGAUUUAGAGGAUUGGAAAAUGUCUUGCUUGUAGACUAAUAGGAUAUCAAUAAGCCAUAUGAGCAAUAAUUUGAAAUCGUUUUUGUAAAGUAUCAUGAAGGUAAACCCUGUUUAGAACAAAUUAGAUUUGAAGUACUUGUGACAAAUGCAGUUAACAAUGCCUUUAUGCAGCUGGAAAAUUGUUGCUUAGCAGAAAAGCUUGUGCUGGACAAAUAGAUGUCCAAAUUGAAUAGAUGUUUUCUUAAGCUGAACUAAUUGAGACAAAUAUCCUUAUUAAAUCAAAAAA